rnacentral:tRNA from 1 species
CGAGUUAAAGCUUUUAGAAGCGCCGGUCUUUUAACCCGUGUGAAGUCGUUUAUAGCGUCUAACUCAU